CCCUCCCGGGAGCCUCCCGGAAGUUGCCGGCCGGGAGCAGGGUGCACGGCUCCGGGCGUCCCUGGAUGUGUUGGGGCUCAGUCUCUGGGCGAGAGGACUCGGAAGGGGGAGAGCGACAUUCAGAAGCGCGGCGCAGGGCGAGACCUGGUGACCAUGGCGGGGCCGCAGUCUUUAGCGCUGCAGCUGGAACGGUUGUUGAACCCGCGACCGCGCGAGGCGGAUCCUGAGGCCGACCCGGAGGAGGCCACUGCUGCCAAAGUGAUUGACAGGUUUGAUGAAGGGGAAGAUGGGGAAGAUGAUUUCCUGGCGGUGGGUAGCAUUAGAAAGCUGGCAUCAGCCUCCCUCUUGGACACAGACAAGAGGUAUUCUGGCAAGACCACCUCUAGAAGAGCUUGGAAGGCAGACCAUUGGGAGCAGACUCUGCCAGGUUCAUCUGAUAAAGAAAUAUCUGAUGAGGAAGGGUCUGGAGAUGGAGAUUCAGAGGGUCUGGGCCCGGAGGAAUCCGGUGAGGAUGCCAUGAGUGCUGAGGAACUGGAGUGUGCUGAUGGUGACAGUAGCCUGGCCUGGAAAAAGAGGAGCAGAAGCCACUCCAGGAAGGCGUCGGGCUUCAGUGUCCAGAGCAUCAGUGACUUUGAAAAGUUUACCGAGGGAAUGGAUGACCUCGGUAGCAGUGAGGACGAGGAAGACGAAGAGCAGGAGAGUGGUAUGGAGGAAGGGGGUGGUGAGGAAGACUUUGAAGGUGAGAGUGAGGAAGACAAGGCCGAAGACAGGACCAGUGAGGACGACGGGGUGGUGAUGACCUUCUCCGAGGUCAAAGUUUCCGAGGAAGUGGAGAAAGGCCAAGCUGUGAAGAACCAGAUAGCACUGUGGGACCAGCUCUUGGAAGGAAGGAUAAAGCUACAAAAAGCUCUGCUGACCACCAAUCAGCUUCCUCAACCAGAUGUUUUCCCUAUUUUCAAGGACAAAGGUGGCCCAGAAUUUGCCAGCGCCUUGAAAAACAGUCACAAGGCACUUAAAGCAUUGUUGAGGUCAUUGGUAGAUCUUCAGGAAGAGUUGCUUUUCCAGUAUCCAGACACUAGAUAUCUAGUAGAUGGGACAAAGCCCAAAGCAGAAAGUGAGGAGGAGAUUUCCAGUGAAGAUGAAGAGCUCGUAGAAGAGAAGCAGCAGCAGCAGAGGAGGGCCCCAGCAAAGAGGAAGCUGGAGACUGAGGACUACCCCAGCUUCAUAGCGAAGCGCUUCGCCGACUUCACCGUCUACAGGAACCGUACGCUCCAGAAGUGGCAUGAUAAGACCAAGCUGGCUUCUGGAAAACUGGGGAAGGGUUUUGGUGCCUUUGAACGUUCAAUCUUGACUCAGAUUGAUCAUAUUCUGAUGGACAAAGAAAGAUUACUUCGAAGGACACAGACCAAGCGCUCUAUCUACCGAGUUCUUGGCAAACCUGAGCCGGCAGCCCAGCCUGUCCCAGAGAGUUUGCCAGGACAGCCGGAGAUCCUUCCUCAAGCACCUGUCAGUGCCCACCUGAAGGACCUAGAUGAAGAAAUCUUUGAUGACGAUGACUUUUACCACCAGCUCCUUCGAGAACUCAUAGAACGGAAGACCAGCUCCUUGGAUCCCAACGAUCAGGUGGCCAUGGGAAGGCAGUGGCUUGCAAUCCAGAAGUUAAGAAGCAAAAUCCACAAGAAAGUAGAUAGGAAAGCCAGCAAAGGAAGGAAACUUCGGUUUCACGUCCUUAGCAGGCUUCUGAGCUUCAUGGCACCUAUUGACCAUACCACAAUGAAUGAUGAUGCCAGGACAGAGCUGUAUCGAUCUCUUUUUGGCCAACUCAACCCCCCUGACGAAGGCCACGGGGACUGACGGCGCCCAUCUCCCUGUGGCCCGGGGCCUGAGGCGGGACCUCCGCACACCCAGCCCCACAUAGAGGAACUCGGGAAAUCCCGGGAACGUGUGCUGUUCAGAACACGGGCCUGACGAGUGCCCGGAAACCUGGAAUCCAGCAUCUGUGUCACCGGAAUCCCACGUGUCAUUGACGUGGUGUCUGUGGACUGCGACACAGCGCCCAGAGGCUGGGUUCCAAACGAAUGUGUCUCCAGUUACCUAAAAGAUCACUCAACGGAAAUAGAAGAUUUCCCCUACAGUCACUCGAAUAUAGACCAUUCAACCCCAUCCAUCUAGCCUGAGGAUCCCAGAUAAACCCACGUUAGAACAGCAAGUAAGUAACCUCUUAACGUGGCACUUCCCGUGAGCAUGAUGCAGACCCACGAUUCCUAAAGAGAUGGAACCUUUGUCACAGUCACUCUCUACCUGAUGAAGAAAAAAAUUUAAGCAGGUACUUCAAAAUAUUUGGAGUCCAUCAUGUUUAAUUAAAAUGAAUUAAAAUCAGGAGAGAUGAGAAAGAACGGAUAGAAUUUUCAGUAAAGGGAGGCUUGCAUUUUAAAAUUCAGAGGACCACCCUCCUUCCAGCCAAGAGUAAAUUGGAAACUAUUUUAAUUGACACGGAUACUGCAAUUCAGCUGUUACUAGAAAGACAGAUUAGUUGAUUGAUUUGCAUUUUAAUAAAACGAAUACUUUACAUUUUGGUGGCUAAUGCUGAUUUUGAAAUGAGUUGAGAACUGUUAUCAAGAGUUUCAAUCCAGGGCCCUUUUUCAGUGUUGACUGAAGCAUUCCUCCCUUUUGUGCGGAGUUGGCUUAUUUUCUUUUUGUCCAGUUGACUCCUUCACGCAUGACCCUCCUAAACCACAGCCCCUGAAGACACCAUCAGAGCAGCGAGGAAACCGCAGGGCCCACCCAGCCCAGGUGUGCACCCGGGGCCGGAAGCAGGCCGUGGGCUUUGCCCUUCGGGAUAGAGAAGUUAAGGCUGGUUUCUCAUCUUAGUUUAUUUUACGUCAAAAAUUAAUUACAGAAAAGUGGAAGGAACAAAUGGAAAUAAGACUUGGCUGUAACUCCACCACUCAGAAAGAUCCCCUUCUCGUAGUUAACCUGUAUUCCUUCGUAGCCCUCUUCAGUGUAGAUGCUGUGAUACCCAGUAGACUCCUCUCUGGGGGGAGGGCCCAGGGAGCAGUGCAGGUGGAAGACUUCGUUUUUCCUUCUGGACUGUUUGAAAUGUUACCCUUUUAAAAACAGUAAAAACAAAAUGUCCGUGCAGCAUGUCCCCCUCCGCAUAACACACGUAUACCACCCGUUGAGAACCAGUGGUACGUUGUAUUCUGCAUUUUAAUACUAAUAGUAGAGGGGAAGGUUGUUUCCACGUUUUUGCAGAUCUCAUUGAAGCAUUUUAACUGCUAACUGAUAAUUCCAUUGGGGGCGUGUCUCUUCAGUACUGAACCAGAUCCCCUCUUGUUGAACACUUAAAUUGUUAUAAUUAUUUGCUAUUAUGAAUAAUGUUAUAGGAAAAUAUUUGUGCAUAAAGCUUGUUUGUUGUCUUUGAAAAUUAUUGGGUUUUUUGGCAUAGAUUUUUGGGAGUAAAGUGAACCGAGUGAAAGAGUCCAAAUAUUUCAAAGGCUCUUGGUCCCUAUGACGGAGGCUUGUUUUAGGGCCCGUGCACUUCUCACCUGCCCUAGGCGGGACCAUCUGCAACAAAGGGUGUUGAAAGGCAGAGAGGAGGUUGGCCCUGGAGUCUGAUCCUGUGGUUUAUUUCUUGCUCCCCAGGGAACCCUUCAAAUCAGCAUCCUCCUCUGGGAGGAUUAAAGAGCUGCUGCCUGUAAUGUGCUUUGAGAUGCUCCAAUGAAAGGUGGUGGACAAAUAGGAAGUGACACCAUCCUCUCCCUCCCCGACCCUCCUGUCUGUUUUCUGGCUGCUAGAUCGCAUAUCAUUUUCUCUCCACCCUCCCCACUGGUUUUCAUGCUCUUGCUGCUUUCCGUGCCUUCAUCCUGGGGAUCUCUCCGGUGGGUUUUCCUUGCCUUGUAUGGGUUUAUGUUUCUCCCCAUAUUGUCUUUGGUGCGUAGCCAUUCUUUCCAGGUCACCGACCAAGAACGCUUGUUGUGCAUCAUUUGGAAACCCUGAGAGCCAACAGAACACCAGGGAAAGCCAGCUCCGACCAGUUCAGCAACAGACACUGCACCUCCAGUUUAGAAAAGUAGUUUCCUCAGUGGUUGAUUUUCCUGGUCUCCGCAUAUGACUUCUGCAAGGUUAUUGCCUCUUUAUCUCUUACCAUUUCAUCCGAAGGGAGCUGAGUUUGAGGCUCAAUGGAUCCAAAUGGGACAUUCGUCAACCUUCACCACCAUGGAGGGGUCACUGUGUAUGUGGGACACCAAGAUCUGUGUCUCCCUGGGCCAGGCUCACAGGUGAGGCAGCUGCGUCUCAGCAGAAAUAUAGAGAGUGGAGGUAAAGGGUGUCAUGGAGACGCCUGAGGCUGCGGCUGCAGAAAUGUGGGUGUUCUAUGCCAGGGCAGCUGGCGCCCGUCUGCUGAUACCCUGAUAGGCUACCCUGUGCACAUGGCGUUUAAGAAAGGCAAAUACAAGCAGUGAGCCUUGUCUAAAGUGAAUGAACCUUGUUUUCUGCAUCUGAGUUUGUGUUUUUACUUUUUGAUUUAUGUGUGUGUUUGUGUACCGGGGUGGGGGGGCGGUUGUGCUAGGCAUUAAGUUGAGUUUGCCUUGGUCAUUCAUUUUUUGUUUGUUUAAAUCUUAUCUACCUCAUUUCCUUUCUUUUUUUUUUUUUUU